AGAGCGAACGCUGGCGGCAGGCUUAACACAUGCAAGUCGAGCGGGCGUAGCAAUACGUCAGCGGCAGACGGGUGAGUAACGCGUGGGAACAUACCUUUUGGUUCGGAACAACACAGGGAAACUUGUGCUAAUACCGGAUAAGCCCUUACGGGGAAAGAUUUAUCGCCGAAAGAUUGGCCCGCGUCUGAUUAGCUAGUUGGUGAGGUAACGGCUCACCAAGGCGACGAUCAGUAGCUGGUCUGAGAGGAUGAUCAGCCACAUUGGGACUGAGACACGGCCCAAACUCCUACGGGAGGCAGCAGUGGGGAAUAUUGGACAAUGGGGCGCAAGCCUGAUCCAGCCAUGCCGCGUGAGUGAUGAAGGCCCUAGGGUUGUAAAGCUCUUUUGUGCGGGAAGAUAAUGACGGUACCGCAAGAAUAAGCCCGGCUAACUUCGCGCCAGCAGCCGC
rnacentral:rRNA from 1 species